GCCUUUGUGGCCUAAAGGAUAAGGCACCGGCCUCCUAAGCCGGGGAUUGCGGGUUCAAGUCCCGCCAGAGGUA
rfam:Daphnia magna strain Xinb3 contig31621, whole genome shotgun sequence.